rnacentral:rRNA from 3 species
AAAACAACUCUCAGCAACGGAUAUCUUGGCUCUUGCAACGAUGAAGAACGCAGCGAAAUGCGAUACGUAGUGUGAAUUGCAGAAUUCCGCGAAUCAUCGAGUCUUUGAACGCAAGUUGCGCCCGAGGCUUGUCCGAGGGCAUUUCCGCUAGAGCGUCAC